rnacentral:tRNA from 1 species
GGGGAUUUAGCUCAGUUGAUAGAGUGCUUGCCUCAUACCCACAAAGCCCUGGGUUCAAUCCCCAGCACCACCA